rnacentral:rRNA from 1 species
UACGUAGGCAGCGAGCGUUGUUCGGAGUUACUGGGCGUAAAGGGUGUGUAGGCGGUUCUUUAAGUUUGGUGUGAAAUCUCCCGGCUCAACCGGGAGGGUGCGCCGAAUACUGAGGGACUAGAGUGCGGGAGAGGAAAGUGGAAUUCCUGGUGUAGCGGUGAAAUGCGUAGAUAUCAAGAGGAACACCUGAGGUGAAGACGGGUUGCUGGGCUGACACUGACGCUGAGGCGCGAAAGCCAGGGAGCAAACGGG